CAGUUGGCCAUGUUUUUGUUUGUCUAUAUUUUUUUAAGCUUAGCAACUUCCUUGAUUACAGCAGUUUUGAGUCGUUUUGCCCCCUUAAACCGGAUCCGUCUAUUUCCAUAGCUCAGUUCAAUUCGGUUCAAUCAACGUACUACAUAUAUUUAAUGUGUAGUAGUUUAGCUGAAGCUAUCAUUAAGUCUAAUUGACUUUUUAUCGUUACGUUUUUUGUUCUUGUUUCAUCCGUCUGCUGCGGUGGACGUGACAAAAACUACACUACGAGAAAUGACAAAAAUUAUGAGAAUAGUGUAGAAGUGUGUCUUGGCAGGUGUUUGCAAUAUCUUAUAAUGAGCAAGUCGAUCGACCAUUAAACAAUACACCAAGUUCAGGAACAUAACUUCGAACAACAACAAAAAGUGAAAGUCGCCUGCAUUUGAUGGAUUAGAAUGAGCAAAGUGCGGAGUGCGGAGUGGGAGGCAAUUGCUUGUAGUCAAUUAAAAGGCAAUAAUCGUCAAACUAAAAACUAAAGCAGCAGCGAAUCAACAACUCAGCUCAGUUAAGCUCAGGACGUGUGGGACUCGAUAGAGCAAAUAAAUCACAUGACGCUGGUGUGUGCAUAAAAAAUGCGUUCGAACAAUUUGCAUACAAUUUGGUGACAGACAACUACGAAAUUAGACAGACAAAAAAAUACGUUUAAAUUUUAUGGAGCGAAUGAUUAGA